ensembl:lncRNA novel transcript, antisense to CRK
GACACAGGUGGAUGGAUUGCUUCAGCUCAGGAGUUUUUGAGACCAGCCUGAGCAACAUGGUGAAACCGUCUCUACAAAAAAUACAAAAAUUAGCUGGGUGUGGUGGUGGCUGCUCAUAGAACCAGCUACUCGGGAGGCUGAGCACAAGUGUGGAGGAAGGGGAGGAAGGGAUGAUGGCAUGCCUAUCCUUACACACAGGUAACAAUCCUCACAGGUUGCUGUCACCAGGACUCUCACCACACCUGGCCUGCCAGCAAUUUUAGAAUUCAACGUUUCUCACAUCUGGGCAGGGUGCUGUGGGGCUCACGUCUUUAAUCCCAGC